ensembl:lncRNA
CAAUGUCAGAAUGACAACUUAAACUCACAGCCGUAUUCUUCAGAGAUCAAAUACACUGAGUCAUACAGUAACAUCAACAUUAGCAAUAACUUUUAUUCCGAAGACAGAUAAGAGGAAGACAAAGAUGGGGUUUUACCCAAAACUUCACUUACUCAAGAGGCUGAAAUCAACAUGAAGUCAGACGUGCUGGACAUUCUUUAAACCACUUGUGUCCACUGGUCAUCACACUUCCUUCAGCUGCCCUGUCUCAAGGCUAUCUUCCCCAAAGGCAUCCAGUCAUCGUGCAGAAACGGAGACCAAGAGCAGAGUUUGCUGCAGUCAUUAAUCACUUCUGUUGCUUUGGGGUAUGGCUGAAAUAUGUCAAAAAGAAACAUGGGAAGCAAGUACCAACCUCCCACCAGUUGCAGAAAAGUGAGAGCUGGACUUCAGCAUAGUUGAAUGGAAAGUGAAGUAAAUGGGCAAAAUCUCCCACACUAUAUCUAAUCCAAUUUUCUCAGAGAUGAGCUCAGAACAAAAUGGUGUUGUGGGGAAAUAUAGGUUGGUGUUGUUGAUAAAAACAUCAGUUUAACACUUAGAAAUACUCCUGUACCCACCCAGGAGAAAAGAUAAAGGCUUAAACCUUGCCCAUCCUUGUGACACUACAUAAAACCACAGUUUUGAAUCAUUCUGGCUCCCUUUCCUGUCCCAAAGUGGAUAUGUGGUGAUAAGAAUGGGAAUAGAAGAGGCCAAAGAGGAGACAUAGCAAAGCUGCAAAGUCGAGGAAUCAUAGAAUCAUUAAGGCUGGAAAAGACCUCUAAAAUCAUCAGGUCCAGCCCCAACCCACCCUCACCAUGUCCACUGACCACGUCCCUCAGUGCCACAUCUCCAUGGUUCUUGAGCACCUCCAGGGAUGGUGACUUCACCACUUCUCUGGGUGAUGUUCAAAUGGGACUUUCAAAAUUAGUUGAGACUUCUACUGUGCAUUCAUUGUCACGAGACACAGAGUGUUUGGAUUCUCUGUCUGGAAAGAAGUUGGAAAUGAACAAUUUCAAAUGUCUUCCCACAGAGAAACCUGGAUCCACUGGGCUCCUUGGGUGCAUUCAGGCCACGUGAAUAACUGAAGGAAGCACACAUGAAAUGCUUUUGUAAUAAAGCUAUUAUAAGCUGUGAGAGGCAGUGACCAGCUAAUCAGCCAUUCCUCUGCCAUUUUAUGAUCUGAACGAACUUUUAUAUAGCUUUGUUGUGUUUUCAAGUCAUCGUACAACUAAUUGAUGCAAUUAACAUCCCAUCCCUCUUUUUACACUGGUAAUCAUAAGGCAGUACCAGGCCUACAAAGAAGAACAAUAGGACUGGGAUUUUUCAUGUCAAAUAAGGAAAAUAAUUGUCCUUCGAGUAUCCAUAAAAGCACAGACCACUCCAUAGAGAAUAUGAAAUGAAACCUUCCACACUGUGUGUGGGAGAGGAGG